AUUGAACGCUGGCGGCAUGCUUUACACAUGCAAGUCGAACGGCAGCGCGGGCUUCGGCCUGGCGGCGAGUGGCGAACGGGUGAGUAAUACAUCGGAACGUGCCCAGUAGUGGGGGAUAGCUCGGCGAAAGCCGGAUUAAUACCGCAUACGACCUGAGGGGGAAAGCGGGGGAUCUUCGGACCUCGCGCUAUUGGAGCGGCCGAUGGCAGAUUAGCUAGUUGGUGGGGUAAAGGCCUACCAAGGCGACGAUCUGUAGCUGGUCUGAGAGGACGACCAGCCACACUGGGACUGAGACACGGCCCAGACUCCUACGGGAGGCAGCAGUGGGGAAUUUUGGACAAUGGGCGAAAGCCUGAUCUAGCAAUGCCGCGUGUGUGAUGAAGGCCUUCGGGUUGUAAAGCACUUUUGGCGGGAACGAAAAGGACUGUGCCAAUACCACGGUUCGAUGACGGUACCCGCAGAAUAAGCACCGGCUAACUACGUG
rnacentral:rRNA from 1 species